rnacentral:tRNA from 1 species
GAGGGUAUUACUCAGUGGUAGAGUGCAUGCCUAGCAUGCACGAGGUUUUGGGUUCAAUCCCCGGUACCUCCA